rnacentral:rRNA from 1 species
AGGGUGUAAACGCUGCGGGCUUGGUGUUGGGGGUCCUUUGAGGGCGCCCAGUGCCGGAGAGAAGUUGUUAAGCCUGCCGCUUGGGAGUACGUCCGCAAGGAUGAAACUUAAAGGAAUUGGCGGGGGAGCACCGCAACGGGAGGAGCGUGCGGUUCAAUUGGAUUCAACGCCGGACAACUCACCAGGAGCGACGGUUACAUGAAACCCAGACUAAUGAUCUUGGUUGAUUUUCAGAGAGGAGGUGCAUGGCGUCAGUGACU